UUAGAUAGAUACAUAGUUUAAGGCAAAAAAAUAUGGAGGCAACGUAUUUGUCAAAAUUUCAAUAUGAUGGCAAGAUAGAAGAAAUCAAGAAAUCCAUUUAAUAAAUGUCGACAUUGUUAGGUUUGGUGAUAGUUAAAAUCACCACUCCUAUGUUUUCUCAAAUGAUUGAGAUUAUUAAGGUAGAAAGAAAGAAUGGUUUUUGGGAAGCAAGAAGGUCAAGGAAGACAUAAAACUCACCCCUUUGGGGGUUAUGGGAAUGGAUAUCUAAGAAGGA
rnacentral:lncRNA from 1 species